GGCGCCCAGGCGCCCACGAACCUCUCGGGCCCGGCCGGGGCGGGCGGGGGCGGCGGUGGGGGCGGGGGCGGCGGCGGCGGCGGCGGCGGCGGGGG
ensembl:miRNA predicted gene, 25239